UACGUAGGGGGCGAGCGUUGUCCGGAAUCACUGGGCGUGAAGGGUGCGUAGGCGGCCGCUUAAGUCUCGUGUGAAAGGCCCCGGCUCAACCGGGGAGGGACAUGGGAAACUGGGCGGCUUGAGUACCGGAGAGGGUUGCGGAAUUCCAGGUGUAGCGGUGAAAUGCGUAGAUAUCUGGAAGAACACCAGUGGCGAAGGCGGCAACCUGGACGGUGACUGACGCUGAGGCACGACAGCUGGGGGAGCGAACAGG
rnacentral:misc_RNA from 1 species